GUGGGGAAUAUUGGACAAUGGGCGAAAGCCUGAUCCAGCCAUGCCGCGUGUGUGAAGAAGGUCUUCGGAUUGUAAAGCACUUUAAGUUGGGAGGAAGGGCAGUAAGUUAAUACCUUGCUGUUUUGACGUUACCGACAGAAUAAGCACCGGCUAACUUCGUGCCAGCAGCCGCGGUAAUACGAAGGGUGCAAGCGUUAAUCGGAAUUACUGGGCGUAAAGCGCGCGUAGGUGGUUUUGUAAGUUGAAGGUGAAAUCCCCGGGCUCAACCUGGGAACUGCCUCCAAAACUACUGAGCUAGAGUACGGUAGAGGGUAGUGGAAUUUCCUGUGUAGCGGUGAAAUGCGUAGAUAUAGGAAGGAACACCAGUGGCGAAGGCGACUACCUGGACUGAUACUGACACUGAGGUGCGAAAGCGUGGGGAGCAAACAGGAUUAGAAACCCGAGUAGUCC
rnacentral:rRNA from 1 species